rnacentral:rRNA from 1 species
AAGUAACAAAGGGUGUUUAGUGGAUGCCUUGGCAAUCAGAGGCGAUGAAGGACGUGAAAGACUGCGAUAAGUCCGGGUGAGGCGUCAAUAUCCUUUGACCCCGGAAUUUCCGAAUGGGGAAACCCANNNNNNNNNNNNNNNNNNNNNNNNNNNNNNUAUCUUUGACUGAAUACAUAGGUCAAAGAAGCAAACGCGGAGAAGUGAAACAUCUCAGUACCCGCAGGAAAAGAAAGCAAUAGCGAUUCCCUUAGUAGUGGCGAGCGAAACGGGACCAGCCCAGUGACCGAGAUUUUAGAUAGCAAAAUGUGGUGGAAAACACAGCAACAAUAGGUGAUAGCCCUGUAUGCGAAAUCUAGUUUUUUGGUUCAAGAGUAGAGCCGGACACGUGAAAUCCGGUUUGAAUACGGGGGGACCUUCCCCCAAGGCUAAAUACUCCUGAUUGACCGAUAGUGAACAAGUACCGUGAGGGAAAGGUGAAAAGAACCCCGAAGGGGGAGUGAAAUAGACACUGAAACUGAAUACCUACAAGCUGUCAGAGCCGGUUUUCCGGUGAUGGCGUACCUUUUGUAUAAUGAGCCAACGAGUUAUUAUUGCAUGCAAGCCUAAGUCGUUAGAUGUAAGCGUAGGGAAACCGAGUCUGAAUAGGGCGAAUUGAGUAUGCAGUAAUAGACCCGAAGCGGGGUGAUCUAGGUAUGGGCAGGCUGAAGGCGGCGUAACAGUCGCUGGAGGGCCGAACGCACCAAUAUGGCAACAUUGGGCGAUGACCUGUGUCUAGGGGUGAAAAGCCAAUCGAACCCCGUUAUAGCUGGUUCUCCGCGAAAACUAUAGAGGUAGUGUCUUGUGUGUUCCUUGUUGGGGGUAAAGCACUGAAAUGGCUAGGGGGAGUAAAAUCUUACCAACCCAUAUCAAACUCUGAAUACCAGCAAGUCAUAGCACAGGAAACAGUCCAUCGGUGCUAAGGUCGGUGGACGAGAGGGCAACAGCCCAGACCGCCAAAUAAGGUCCCAAAAUAAUGAUUAAGUGGGAAAGUGAGUCGAGAUUCCAAAACAACCAGGAUGUUGGCUUGGAAGCAGCCAUCGUUUAAAGAAAGCGUAAUAGCUCACUGGUCUAUUAGAGUUUCGGCAACGAAAAUGUAACGGGGCUAAAAUCAUUUACCGAAUUUGCGGGUGGCACGUAAGUGUCGCGGUAGCGGAGCAUUCUGUAAGCCUGUGAAGCUGAAGGCGCGAGCCACGGUGGAGGUAUCAGAAGCGCGAAUGUUGGCAUGAGUAGCAGCUAAUCAAGGUGAGAAACCUUGACGCCGUAAGAGCAAGGGUUCCUAUCCAAUGUUAAUCAGGGUAGGGUGAGUCGACCCCUAAGGCGAGGCCGAAAGGCGUAGUCGAUGGGAACACGGUUAAUAUUCCGUGACCUGCGUGAGAGUGACGAAUUCCGUAAAUUGUGUCGCCUUAUUGGAUUGGUGAUGCAGUGAAGGGGUUCCAGGAAAUAGCCCACGCGUAUAGAUCGUACCCAGAACCAACACAGGUGCUCGAGUCGAGUAGACUAAGGCGGUUGAGAGAACUAUGUUGAAGGAACUAGGCAAAAUGCAUCCGUAACUUCGGAAUAAGGAUGACCUGUUUCAAGGCAACUUUAAUCAGGUGACACAAACCAGGUGGGGGCGACUGUUUACUUAAAACCCAGGUCUCUGCUAAAUCGUAUAAGAUGAUGUAUAGGGACUGACGCCUGCCCAGUGCUGGAAGGUUAAGCAGAGGUGUGCAAGCAUUGAUGUGAAGCCCCAGUAAACGGCGGCCGUAACUCUAACGGUCCUAAGGUAGCGAAAUUCCUUGUCGGGUAAGUUCCGACCCGCAUGAAUGGCGUAACGAUCUCCACACUGUCUCCAACAUAGACUCAGCGAAAUUGAAUUCUCGGUGAAAAUGCCGGGUACCCGCAGCUAGACGGAAAGACCCUAUGAAGCUUUACUGCAGUUUCGUACUGGCACUAGGACUCAUUUGCGUAGGAUAGGUGGGACGCUUUGAAGGGCGGAUCUUGGUUCGCCUGGAGCGGUUGGUGAAAUACCACCCUUGUGUGUUUUAGUGUCUAACCCGCGUUCUUGAACCAGGGCGGGGGACAGUGCGUGAUGGGCAGUUUGACUGGGGUGGUCGCCUCCCAAAGUGUACCGGAGGCGCGCGAAGGUUUGCUCAGGCUGGUCGGAAAUCAGCCGGUGAGUGCAAUGGCAAAAGCAAGCCUGACUGCAAGGGGGACACCCCGAGCAGAGACGAAAGUCGGUCAUAGUGACCCGGUGGCUCCGCAUGGAAGGGCCAUCGCACACGGAUAAAAGCUACUCUAGGGAUAACAGGCUGAUGCUACCCAAGCGUCCAUAGCGACGGUAGUGUUUGGCACCUCGAUGUCGACUCAUCGCAUCCUGGGGCUGGAGCAGGUCCCAAGGGUAUGGCUGUUCGCCAUUUAAAGCGGUACGUGAGUUGGGUUAAUAACGUCGUGAGACAGUUAGGUCCCUAUCUACUGUGGGCGUUGGAUAUUUGAGCGAACUUGACCUUAGUACGAGAGGACCGGGUCGAACGAACCUCUGGUGUACCUGUUGUCGCGCCAGCGGCACCGCAGGGUAGCUAUGUUCGGAACAGAUAACCGCUGAAAGCAUCUAAGCGGGAAGCUGGUCGCAAGAUAAGAUAUCCCCAUGAGUUCAGUUCUAGACUAGGACAUUGAUAGGAUGGCGGUGUAAGCCCUGCGAGGGGUUUAGCUUACCAUUACUAAUCGAACCAUUGACUU